UACGAAGGGUGCAAGCGUUACUCGGAAUUACUGGGCGUAAAGCGUGCGUAGGUGGUUUGUUAAGUCUGAUGUGAAAGCCCUGGGCUCGACCUGGGAACGGCAUUGGAAACUGGCUUACUAGAGUGCGGUAGAGGGGUGUGGAAUUCCCGGUGUAGCAGUGAAAUGCGUAGAUAUCGGGAGGAACAUCUGUGGCGAAGGCGACACCCUGGACCAGCACUGACACUGAGGCACGAAAGCGUGGGGAGCAAACAGG
rnacentral:rRNA from 1 species